ACGUAGGGUGCGAGCGUUAAUCGGAAUUACUGGGCGUAAAGCGUGCGCAGGCGGUUGAUUAAGACAGGCGUGAAAUCCCCGGGCUUAACCUGGGAACUGCGCUUGUGACUGGUCAGCUAGAGUACGGCAGAGGGGGGUGGAAUUCCACGUGUAGCAGUGAAAUGCGUAGAGAUGUGGAGGAACACCGAUGGCGAAGGCAGCUCACUGGGCCGAUACUGACGGUCAUGCACGAAAGCGUGGGUAGCAAACAG
rnacentral:rRNA from 1 species